rnacentral:rRNA from 1 species
AAUAGAUACCCUGGUAGUCCACGCCGUAAACGAUGAGUGCUAAGUGUUAGAGGGUUUCCGCCCUUUAGUGCUGCAGCUAACGCACUAAGCACUCCGCCUGGGGAGUACGGCCGCAAGGCUGAAACUCAAAGGAAUUGACGGGGGCCCGCACAAGCGGUGGAGCAUGUGGUUUAAUUCGAAGCAACGCGAAGAACCUUACCAGGUCUUGACAUCCUCUGCCAACCCUAGAGAUAGGGCGUUCCCCUUCGGGGGACAGAGUGACAGGUGGUGCAUGGUUGUCGUCAGCUCGUGUCGUGAGAUGUUGGGUUAAGUCCCGCAACGAGCGCAACCCUUGAUCUUAGUUGCCAGCAUUCAGUUGGGCACUCUAAGGUGACUGCCGGUGACAAACCGGAGGAAGGUGGGGAUGACGUCAAAUCAUCAUGCCCCUUAUGACCUGGGCCACACACGUGCUACAAUGGAUGGUACAAAGAGCAGCGAACCCGCGAGGGUAAGCCAAUCUCAUAAAGCCAUUCUCAGUUCGGAUUGU